UACAGAGGUCUCAAGCGUUGUUCGGAUUCAUUGGGCGUAAAGGGCGCGUAGGCGGCGGGGUAAGUCUGGUGUGAAAUCUCGGAGCUCAACUCCGAAAUUGCACUGGAUACUGCUCUGCUUGAGGGUUGGAGAGGAGAUCGGAAUUCACGGUGUAGCAGUGAAAUGCGUAGAUAUCGUGAGGAAGACCAGUGGCGAAGGCGGAUCUCUGGACAAAUCCUGACGCUGAGGCGCGAAGGCUAGGGGGAGCAAACGGG
rnacentral:rRNA from 1 species